rnacentral:rRNA from 1 species
GAUGGGAACUUUAAGGAUACUGCCAGUGACAAACUGGAGGAAGGCGGGGACGACGUCAAGUCAUCAUGGCCCUUACGGCCAGGGCUACACACGUGCUACAAUGGUCGGUACAAAGGGUUGNUACCUAGCGAUAGGAUGCUAAUCUCAAAAAGCCGAUCGUAGUCCGGAUUGGAGUCUGCAACUCGACUCCAUGAAGUCGGAAUCGNUAGUAAUCGCGGAUCAGAAUGCCGCGGUGAAUACGUUCCCGGGCCUUGUACACACCGCCCGUCACNCCAUGGGAGUUUGUUGCACCAGAAGUAGCUAGCCUAACUGCAAAGAGGGCGG